CGUUUUUUGAUGAUUUGAUAUUUCAUCUCAUGAGAUAAAAUUGAAUGUCCAAACGCCUGCUGAGUGAAUAUAAAAUGACCAAAACAGCCCCUUACCUACCCCAACCAGAAGAGUUUAAUGAACAUGAACCAUGCCUUAUCUUCCUUUCUCUUCUUAUAUUCUAAAAUAUAGCUCUUCUUUCUCUUGGUAACACAUCCAUCCUAUUUCUAUCCACUUUAAACACACACACACACACACAAAAAUACACAUCUGUCUGCAAUUUUUUCUUUGGCAGAAGAAGCUCUGAUUCAGCGACAACAUAGACAUAGGGACAGUGUCUUCAACUCGAUUACCAUUCAAGAAAAUAUGGUCCUCGGUAUCAAGUGCUCUGAGUACAUAAUGGUGGAGAAUUGCCACCGAAAUUAUUCCUUUUCAAGUCUAGCACCAAUAACUGAGUAAUGUGGAACCUAUUCACUGUAGUAGUUGUGUGAUAAAUCCAGAAAUUUAUUGCUACUCACUCCGGCGACCCUAUUCUCAAGGUUAAGGCAGCUCCCAUUUCACAAAGGCAUCUUGAGUACCCUUAAAUUCCUGGAUUUAUCACACAACGACGACUUUGGUUCCCCAUUGCUUUGCUCUCCUUGGUCCCGAAGUUGAUGUGCAAGUUUUAUUUGGUCUUGAUUUAGGUUUCAGCCUCUUCCGUUUCAACCCAAUGUAUAUCUGCAGCCCAACUUAGAUAUGUCUAAGCAUCAAUUUCAUCCCGACUUAGAUUUUGUGAAUCAAUUUUUUUGUUGAUGACCCUCCGGUUGGAGAUGUGACUUCAAAUAAUUUCAGCUUAUCUAAGUCGGGCUGAAAUUGAUGCUACGAUAGAUAUCAGUUUGGCUGCAGAUCUACAUCGGGUUGAAAUGGAGGAGGUUGCAUUCCUAGGUCAGGACCAAAUAGAGCUUGGAGAUCAUGGACUUGACAAGGAAUAAUUUUGGUUGGAGUCUUUCGCUGUUAUAUACUUGGAGCACUUCAUAUUUGAGAUCCAUCGUCUUGGAUGGUAAUCAAUUUAAAGGAACUGUCCUAUGUCCUCUCCUCUAUGAUUCCGAUGGUUUGAUACAAGAAACAUGUAUCGCGUAUUGCGUUUCUUUAACUUGUUUAGUAGGUAACCUAUUUCGCUUUUUCAUAUUAUCAAUUCUACUUUUUAUGGACAAUUACUUGUUAGUAUCUUUAUUAGUCUCGGUAGGGUAAAAGUACUUAUAUAUUGUCAGUGUAUAGAAGUUAAAACUCUUUUAAAAAACAGUGGUAUCUGAUCAGUUUGCACGUAACUGUACUUUUGUAUUCUCCCAUGGGUAUAAUCCACUAAGACUUAGGUUGAUGAUAAGAAAUCUAUCUUAUUUGCUGUGUCUCUAUUAGGCCUUCUACUUUCUUUUUUAGAAUUCAGUUCUGUUGUUCCUUUUACUUAAUUUUCGAUCAUUCUUAUCAAUCCAAAAAGAAUAAUUGUGGAGCAUUCUUGUAUAUUGGUAUACAAUUGAGAUUUGAAUAAACAUUUAGCCUCUA